rnacentral:tRNA from 1 species
GAUGUGGUUCAAUGGUAGAAUGCUUGCCUAGCAUGCAUGAGGCCCUGGCUUAGAUCCCCAGCAAACA